rnacentral:rRNA from 1 species
AUUGAACGCUGGCGGCAUGCCUUACACAUGCAAGUCGAACGGCAGCACGGGAGCAAUCCUGGUGGCGAGUGGCGAACGGGUGAGUAAAGUAUCGGAACGUGCCCAGUCGUGGGGGAUAACGUAGCGAAAGUUACGCUAAUACCGCAUACGAUCUAUGGAUGAAAGCGGGGGAUCGCAAGACCUCGCGCGAUUGGAGCGGCCGAUAUCAGAUUAGGUAGUUGGUGGGGUAAAGGCCCACCAAGCCGACGAUCUGUAGCUGGUCUGAGAGGACGACCAGCCACACUGGGACUGAGACACGGCCCAGACUCCUACGGGAGGCAGCAGUGGGGAAUUUUGGACAAUGGGCGAAAGCCUGAUCCAGCCAUGCCGCGUGCAGGAUGAAGGCCUUCGGGUUGUAAACUGCUUUUGUACGGAACGAAAAGGACUGCCCUAAUACGGUGGUCCCAUGACGGUACCGUAAGAAUAAGCACCGGCUAACUACGUGCCAGCCGCCGCCGUAACAC